UCUAGAACUCGAGAUAUGGGCUAAACACUGAACAGUGUCUGGGCUGCAGGACAUAUUCUGAUUUCUCUGUUGUUGCUAAGAUUUGGACUUCUAAACAGCAAAAUUGAGUCUUGGGCUUCGCAUGAAUGUUUUAGGCCUAUGUCUUAGCUUUCUAGC
rfam:Populus trichocarpa scaffold_11_contig_357, whole genome shotgun sequence.